rnacentral:rRNA from 1 species
GACGAACGCUGGCGGCGUGCCUAAUACAUGCAAGUCGUGCGCACGGAAGGGAGCUUGCUCCCGGAAGUGAGCGGCGGAUGGGUGAGUAACACGUGGGCAACCUGCCUGAAAGACGGGGAUAACUCCGGGAAACGGGAGCUAAUACCGGAUAGGGCUCCGACACCGCCUGGUGUCGGAGGGAAAGAUGGUUUCGGCCAUCGCUUUCAGAGGGGCCCGCGGUGCAUUAGCUGGUUGGCGGGGCAACGGCCCACCAAGGCAACGAUGCAUAGCCGACCUGAGAGGGUGAUCGGCCACAUUGGGACUGAGACACGGCCCAAACUCCUACGGGAGGCAACAGUAGGGAAUCUUCCGCAAUGGACGCAAGUCUGACGGAGCAACGCCGCGUGAGCGAAGAAGGUUUUCGGAUCGUAAAGCUCUGUUGCCGGAGAAGAACGGGAGGGAGAGGCAAUGCUCUCUUCGUGACGGUAUCCGGCCAGAAAGCCACGGCUAACUAC